CCUACGGGAGGCAGCAGUAGGGAAUCUUCCACAAUGGGCGAAAGCCUGAUGGAGCAACGCCGCGUGAGUGAUGAAGGCCUUCGGGUUGUAAAACUCUGUCAUUCGGGACGAACCGGAGUCUGAGGAAAUGCAGACUCUCUGACGGUACCGGAGGAGGAAGCCCCGGCUAACUACGUGCCAGCAGCCGCGGUAAUACGUAGGGGGCAAGCGUUGUCCGGAUUCACUGGGCGUAAAGCGCGCGCAGGCGGUGAUGUAAGUCUGAGGUGAAAACCCGAGCUCAACUUCGGGACUGCCUUGGAUACUGCGUCACUUGAGGAUAGGAGAGGCAAGGGGAAUUCCACGUGUAGCGGUGAAAUGCGUAGAGAUGUGGAGGAACACCUGUGGCGAAGGCGCCUUGCUGGCCUAUUUCUGACGCUGAGGCGCGAAAGCGUGGGGAGCAAACAGGAUUAGAUACCCUGGUAGUCCACGCUGUAAACGAUGAGUGCGUAGGUGUAGGUGGGUCGUCACUACCACUCUGUGCCGACGACGUAACGAC
rnacentral:rRNA from 1 species